UGACGGUACCUGACUAAGAAGCCCCGGCUAACUACGUGCCAGCAGCCGCGGUAAUACGUAGGGGGCAAGCGUUAUCCGGAUUUACUGGGUGUAAAGGGAGCGCAGGCGGUACGGCAAGUCUGAUGUGAAAGCCCGGGGCUCAACCCCGGUACUGCAUUGGAAACUGUCGAACUAGAGUGUCGGAGGGGUAAGUGGAAUUCCUAGUGUAGCGGUGAAAUGCGUAGAUAUUAGGAGGAACACCAGUGGCGAAGGCGGCUUACUGGACGAUCACUGACGCUGAGGCUCGAAAGCGUGGGGAGCAAACAGGAUUAGAUACCCUG
rnacentral:rRNA from 1 species